rnacentral:rRNA from 1 species
UAGAGUUUGAUCCUGGCUCAGGAUGAACGCUAGCGGCAGGCUUAACACAUGCAAGUCGAGGGGUAACACGGGUGCUUGCACCUGGUGACGACCGGCGGAUGGGUGAGUAACACGUAUGGAACCUGCCCCUUACUGGAGGAUAGCCCGGAGAAAUCCGGAUUAAUACUCCGUAAUAAAGGAAGUGGCAUCACUUCUUUUUGAAAGCUCCGGCGGUAAGGGAUGGCCAUGCGCCCGAUUAGCUUGUUGGUGGGGUAACGGCCCACCAAGGCGACGAUCGGUAGGGGGCCUGAGAGGGUUAUCCCCCACACUGGUACUGAGACACGGACCAGACUCCUACGGGAGGCAGCAGUGAGGAAUAUUGCGCAAUGGAGGCAACUCUGACGCAGCCAUGCCGCGUGCAGGAAGAAGGCGCUAAGCGUUGUAAACUGCUUUUGAUCGGAAAGAAACCCCGGGACGUGUCCCGGGUUGACGGUACCGGUCGAAUAAGCACCGGCUAACUUCGUGCCAGCAGCCGCGGUAAUACGAAGGGUGCAGCGUUAUCCGGAUCAUUGGGUUUAAAGGGUGCGUAGGCGGAACGAUAAUCGGCGGUGAAAGCCCGUACUUAACUACGGAAUU